rnacentral:tRNA from 1 species
CGGGGCGUGGCGCAGCCCGGUAGCGCGCCAGUUUUGGGAACUGGAUGCCGGAGGUUCAAAUCCUCUCGCCCCGACCA